rnacentral:rRNA from 1 species
AUUGAACGCUGGCGGCAGGCCUAACACAUGCAAGUCGAGCGGAUGAAGGGAGCUUGCUCCUGGAUUCAGCGGCGGACGGGUGAGUAAUGCCUAGGAAUCUGCCUGGUAGUGGGGGAUAACGUCCGGAAACGGGCGCUAAUACCGCAUACGUCCUGAGGGAGAAAGUGGGGGAUCUUCGGACCUCACGCUAUCAGAUGAGCCUAGGUCGGAUUAGCUAGUUGGUGGGGUAAAGGCCUACCAAGGCGACGAUCCGUAACUGGUCUGAGAGGAUGAUCAGGCACACGGGAACUUAGACACGGUCCAGACUCCUACGGGAGGCAGCAGUGGGGAAUAUUGGACAAUGGGCGAGAGCCUGAUCCAGCCAUGCCGCGUGUGUGAAGAAGGUCUUCGGAUUGUAAAGCACUUUAAGUUGGGAGGAAGGGCAGUAAGUUAAUACCUUGCUGUUUUGACGUUACCAACAGAAUAAGCACCGGCUAACUUCGUG